UGAAACUCAAAUGAUUAAUAGUUGAGGCAUGUUUAGAUAAAUAGUUAGUAAUAGUUCAAGUAUGAAACUCAAAACACCAGAAUACUUAGCUGUGUUUUUCACCCUCCACUCUUCACAAAAAAUAUUAAAUAGGUUAAAAGAAGAGUGAAUUGGUCAAAAAAACCUAGACUAUCAUCAUUUUGCGAGUUUCAUACCUAUAUUAUUAGGUUUUUCUGUUAACCAUAAAACUAUUACACUUCUUGGCAUUACUUAGUUUGGGCCUUAGUUAGUUGGGCCUCUUAUAUUUAUCUGUAUCAGGCUGUGAACCCAAUAGGCAGUCACCCACUGUUUUGUAAUAGUUAGUAGGAAUAUUAUAAGGGAGAGAGACGAUUAUUCAUUUUCUUGAGAGAAACAAGAAAGCUUUUUUCCUCUCUUUGACUCAUCUUCUUCGGCUCAAAUCUUAGUUGUUUCUUCACUGAAUUACGAGUUAAAUCUUCAUGUUUUCAUGGUAUCAAAAGCCAGUAAUCCGUUCCCGCUCAUUUUUCCAAUUCUAGCAAUGGUACCCUUGGAGUGUUUCAUGAUUUUUUCUGGCCAUGAGCGAUUCAUCUCUUCGAAGUUUGGUCAUUUUGAGCCUUCCGGGGAGAUUUUCAGCUAGAGCUCGUGGAGUUUUGGGUUUGGAAUUCGAUUUUGGCUGAUCAAUUUUUCGUGCGAUUGCUUAUCACUUUCUAGGGUUUUGGUUCUCUAUAAUUGGUACUUUAUCUUCUACUUCGUCGAUUUUUCAUCAAUCGAAUUGGUACACAUUCUUUUGUACCUACAAAUAUGGUGAAUGUUGUUGAAUCCUCUAGUACCACGUUUACCCCCGAACCAUCUAGCCCAUUGUAUCUUUAGUCCUCUAAUGUUCCCAGAGUUUCUUUAGUUUCUGUUCCAUUCUCAGGGACAGGAUUUGGGAGUUGGAGAUGUAAUAUGAUAGUCUCUUUGUCUGCUCGAAACAAGAUAGAUUUUAUUAAUGGCAGUUGUGCCAAACCUGCCGAGGGAUCUCCUCAACUUAGGCAGUGGGAUAGAUGCAACAAUAUGGUCAUUUCAUAUUUGACUAACUCCUUGAAUCCAGACAAAGCUGAGAGUGUGCAGUAUUCUAAGACUGCUGAAAGUAUAUGAAAACAACUCAAUAAAAGAUAUGGAACCAUUAGUGGGACGAAGGUUUUUGAAAUUAAAAAGGAGUUGGCUUCUACUAUCCAAGGUAGUCUAGAUAUAGCAUCCUAUUUCAACAAGUUGAAGAAGUUGUGGGAUGAGCUUAAGUUUGUCUGUGGUUCCAAGAUUUCUUGUUGUACCUGUGCUGUAAGAGUUGAUUUACAACGAGAAGAUCUUAUAUUGGUGUUCGAGGGAAUUUGUUAAUGAUGGAUCCUCUUCCAUCUUUGGAUAGUGCUUAGAAUAUCCUUCUUAAGGAUGAAAGACAGAGACAACUUCCAGUUCUUCCUUGUUUAAUACUGAAUCUGCUUCUUUCAAUGUGGUCACUAACAUCUCUACACCCACUCAUCAUCUUUCUAGGCAAUUUAUCCCUAAUCAUUCAGCAGGAUCUUCAUCAGUUCAUUUACCUACAAGACAGUUCUCUCAGAGAAUUAAUUUUGAUCAAUCUAAGUCCAAUUUGGUUUGUAGGUAUUGCAAGAAGCCUAGACAUCUUAUGAAUAAAUGUUACAAACUUCAUGGCUUUCCACCUAAUUUCAAUUCACCAAAGGUAAAAAAAAAGUUGCUGCAAAUGUGGAGUUAUCGGGAUCUAGUGCAGACAGUGAUGUUAUUCCUCCUGAGCCUUCUUCAAGUUCCUCCUUUAUUCCUGAUUGACAAAGGACCAGCACAAUCAACUUUUGAUGUUGCUGCAACAAAUUAGAGUAUCAAAAUCACAUCCUCGUGGAUCUGCUAACUUUGCUGGCCCCUUCACUGAAUAGGCUACUGGUUGUUGGUAAACUGGAUGAUGGGCUUUACAAGCUUGAGCAAUCUACUCCCAUUUCUACAUCUACUUCCUUACCGUCUACUGGUUUCAGUAGUUUUGUUUCUGAAAGUAUUGUUUCUAGUUCCAUCUCUUCUGUGAGUCUGGUGAGUGCAAUAUAGAGUCUGGUUGUCAUGAGUCAUCUAAGUCUUUUGUUUCACCCUCUCCCAUAUCCCAUUGUAAUUUUGUUUGUGAUAUAAAUAAAAUGGAAAUAUUAUGCCACAA